GCCUUACAUCUUCUCCUAAACCACAAUGCAAGGCACUCUUCACGGUAUAUCCACAAGAACCCAACAAUAACAAUAAGAAGAGAGAAGAAGAAAUUACAGUAGAGAGAGAGGUAGAUCUAAAAUACUACAGAUAAAUAAAAACUACUGUCUAGUGUUGUUUUCUUUGUCUUGGAGGUAGCGGUGAUGCUCGCUACCAGUAAGGAAAGGAAGAGGUUAAAGAUUCGCUUAAGUUCCACCAAUUUUUGCUCUUCAAUCGAUGACGACGCGUGAAGCCAAGCGCUGACAGUGACGGUGCUUGGCUGACACUCUUCACUGCUUUUGUAUGAAGAGUUGUAAAGAAAUGCUUAUGAAACUAGUUUGCAAUAAUGAGUGGACAGCCCCUUAAGCAUUUCAAUGGAGUUUGUUUUAUUGUGGGAGUACUAGUUGCUAAUAAAUUUAAUAAAUGGAAUUAUUAUUUAGUUUUCUAUCCUAAGUUCAAAAUCAAUUUCGCAGGUGAGGUAACCUGAAAAAAUGCUCUCUGGAAACUAGAUUGUCAGGACAACAUUUUUUUUUCUUCUAUGUAAUGCCUGUUAGAGAAAAUUUAUUACAAGAGACUGGGAUUUCAGCGA